rnacentral:snRNA from 1 species
GUGCUCAUUUCAACAGCACAUUUACUAAAACUGGAACAAUACAUAGAAGUUGAGUGUGGCCUCUCUGAAAGUACAGCAUGCAAAUACAUGUAGCAAUCCAUAUUUUU